GCGUAGGGACGGGAAGCAGCACAGACUUGCUGUGAUGUUCACGUGGAGAGGAGUUAAACAUCACUGCAAGUCUUAACGGCCGCCCGCCCAAGGCGC
rnacentral:pre_miRNA from 1 species